rnacentral:tRNA from 1 species
UGGCCCCAUCGUCUAGCCCGGUCUAGGACAUCAGGUUUUCAUCCUGGUAACAGGGGUUCGAAUCCCCUUGGGGUCAA